rnacentral:rRNA from 1 species
AUGUUACUGCCGACGCCAUGUAGCGGCAACUUGCAGCAGGAUCCCCGACCCCUUCCCAACGAGCUGCCUGCAGGAUUCAAGCAGGCAUGUGAAGAUGAGAAGAGCAGCAAGCUGGUGGGCAAAGUCUUCUUCUGCAGUGACAACAACCUCAUGAGCACCGGGCUGCACGACCGCCUGCAGCUGCAACAGAGGAGCGGGAAUGAGCUGCAGGCACUAGACGACCAGGACCUGGCUAAGUUGCCUUCAAGUGACGAAUUGAUGGAGCUUAAGCUGGCCUUCAACGCCACGGCUGGGCAGAGGUUGGGCAGCUGGCCUGCUGACACCAAUGCCUAA